UCAACCCCUCAAGCUUCGGGCUUGGUCUUGGGCCGAUGCGGUGGUGCGGCAACGCUCACCGGGCCCCAAAGGCAGUGACGGCGUCCGUUGGACCCUCGGUACACUGAGCUUUCUAGAGCACGUACCGCUGGUGGUUCACGGGAGCCUGUCUCACCCACAUUUUUUCUAA
rnacentral:misc_RNA from 1 species